rnacentral:rRNA from 1 species
GACGAACGCUGGCGGCGUGCUUAACACAUGCAAGUCGAACGGUAAGGCCCUUCGGGGUACACGAGUGGCGAACGGGUGAGUAACACGUGGGUGAUCUGCCCUGCACUUCGGGAUAAGCCUGGGAAACUGGGUCUAAUACCGGAUAGGACCACUGCCUGCAUGGGUGGUGGUGGAAAGCUUUUGCGGUGUGGGAUGGGCCCGCGGCCUAUCAGCUUGUUGGUGGGGUGAUGGCCUACCAAGGCGACGACGGGUAGCCGGCCUGAGAGGGUGACCGGCCACACUGGGACUGAGAUACGGACCAGACUCCUACGGGAGGCAGCAGUGGGGAAGAUUGCACAAUGGGCGCAAGCCUGAUGCAGCGACGCCGCGUGAGGGAUGACGGCCUUCGGGUUGUGAACCUCUUUCAGCACCGACGAAGCGCAAGUGACGGUAGGUGCAGAAGAAGGACCGGCCAACUACGUGCCAGCCGCCGCGGUAAAAC